rnacentral:rRNA from 1 species
GGAAGUAAAAGUCGUAACAAGGUUUCCGUAGGUGAACCUGCGGAAGGAUCAUUACUGAUUUAGCGAACCGAGCGUUAGCGAGGUUUUGCGAUCAACUUGUAUUUAAAACCCACUCUUCAAUGUAUAAAAUUUGUAUUAAUGAUAAAUUAAAAGAUCACUCUCAACAACGGAUCUCUUGGCUCUCGCAUCGAUGAAGAACGUAGCGAAGUGCGAUAAGUAAUGUGAAUUGCAGUAUUCCGUGAAUCAUCGAACCUUUGAACGCAUAUUGCGCUUUCUGGUAUUCCGGAAAGUAUGCCUGUUUGAGGGUCAGUUAAAUAAAAAUCGGUGUUGUUGCCGCUUUCCGUGGUGACGCGUCGGAAUUGAGUCGUCUUCGGUUAAGUGACUUAAAAUUUUAUAUGAUUUUCGAACGUAUUUAAAUUUAUUUGAACGUUUGAUAUCGAAUGCUUAUUAGGUUCGGUCAUCCUCAUGACUCGCGCCUAUAAUUUUUCAUUAAAUGACCUCAAAUCAGGUAAGAGUACCCGCUGAACUUAAGCAUAUCAAUAAGCGGAGGA